rnacentral:rRNA from 1 species
AAUGGCAGGUCAGCNUACUGCCGUGAAUACGUUCCCGGGCCUUGUACACACCGCCCGUCACACCAUGAGAGUUGGGAAUACCCGAAGCCUGUGAGCUAACAUUAAGAGGCAGCAGUCGAAGGUAGAAUCAAUGAUUGGGGUGAAGUCGUAACAAGGUACC